GUUGGACUCCAGCCGAGCCGGGGACCGGGAGCUGUCCUGGUGUCCACGCACUGCCCUGGGGACUCCAGGGAGUCGGGCCGUCUGUGCUGACGCUGCGUGUUGCUCUGGGACAAAGUCUGGGCCGAGGGGUCCAGGGAGGUGGGGGAGAGGAAGAGAGGGGAGGGGCAGAGUCUGGGCAGGAAGAGGGACGCCGAAUGCUUUCUGAGCCUGCUGGAAGGGAGGGAACACGGGGGCCGUUAAAUGCGUGCAUCCACGGACUGGCUCCACUCUGCGCGAAGCGAGCACCACUGCCAGAAUGGGCUAGUGAAGAAACAGUUAGCAUCUGCCUUCAGGUUAGGUAGACUGCUUGUUCCUAAUAAGAGAAAAAGUAACGUCUUACGAAGGUAGUUUUAAGAAAGGAUAUCUAAGUUGAAUGAGGUAAUGAGGUUUAACACUUUUCGGAAUUGUUUUUAAUUUUAGAGAUACCUGUUUGUGAGGAAAUCAAAAGCUGCAAAAGAAAUGUAAAAACUUCUGGCCUUUGCCAGUUUUGGGGCUUAGUUUUCUUUGAAGCCAUUGGUGACACAUCUGAAGUUUUGGAGCAGUUGCUUUUUCUGCCUUGAUUACACUAAAUGUGGCUAUUGCUGUUUAACUUUGAAAGCCCUAAAUGGGUGCACGGUUUUCUGAAUAUACCUUCUUGAUUCCAAACUUACUUUGUGAAUAUUGAACUGAUAAGAAAAUUUAUUGUAGCCAUAUUUUAAAGCAGAUUAUUAAUUUUGCUAAUAGGUAUUAAAAACGAAGGGGUAUCACUAAAUCAGGUUGAUCUAUGUAAAGUGUAGGUCUUAAUCACUCACCAUACUUAUGUAACUUGCCCUAUAAUUGAAGACUGUUCUCUCCAGUCUUGUGCAGUUUAUUGAAAUGCUAAUAUAAAGAGCUCCUGCAGUUUGCCCUUAUUUUCCCCAAAUUACUUGGUUUUUUGAAUUGACUCCCAGGAAAAACAAACUCCUAAGCAGCCUAUCUGGUGGAGAGCACUGUAUUUCAAAAGCAUAGUUUGCAAAGUUAAAUUUUCUAAUAGGUGGAUUUUUGUUCAGAAAUAUUUUGAACCAGUCAACCUUGCUAAUGAGGGUCUUAACUAUUAACACUGGUCCUAGAAAGGGUUAGGCCUUAGCUCAUGGGCAGCAGGAAGUAGAAGAGAAUACAGAUACAAAUUGAUACUGUUUAAGCUUUAAAAUUAUAUGCUCAUUUUUUCUCUAUUUUACCUAGUAAGAGCUCUUGAAAAUUCCAGCCUAUGUCAACUGUUCCUAGUGGAGUUGUUGAAAGGCUGUGUACCUACAGUUAGCCUAGCCCUGUGGGUACUACAGGGCUAACUGAGGAUGUAAGGCACCCUGCAGGCUGGCAUGAUGCAGACAAUGGUGUUUGCAGAAGGACUGGUCUCACAGAAAAGUGGCAAUAAGAGGACAAAAAUCAAGUGAUCUUAGCAAUCUUCUCUAGAGCAUUUUCCAGCCAGAGGUAAACCUUGGUUAUUAGACAUUUUAUUAAGAGAACAUUGGUUAGCCCUGGCCCGUGUGACUCAGUUGGUUGGAGCAUUGUCCUGCAAACCAAAAGUGUGCGGGUUCCAUUCCCCAUUGGGGCACAUCCCUAGGCUGUGGGUUCAGUCCCUGGUUGGGGGCACAUACAAUAGCCAACCCAAUCAAUGUUUCUCUCUCACAUGGAUGUUUCUCUUCCCCUCUCUGUUUCCCUUCUCCCCUAUAAGCAUGUUCUCUGGUGAGGAUUUAAGAAAAAAAAGAGAGUUGGUUAAACAUGACAAACAUCUUGCUUAACAAGAUCCCAUUCUUUAAUUGAAAUUCUCUCUUGUCAGUGAAAAUUUUCAGGGCAAGAAAGCCUUGUUUAGGUUGGACCUGUUUAGGCUAUAUAGGCAGAGCUUACCCUGGGUAAGGUGUUAUACUCCUCUAGUGGGUUUACAGAAAAAAGCACAAAGACUAAUUCUCACUGGAGGACUUAGGGGAGGUUACAUUUGCACUGAACCUUGAGCAGAGAGUAGAAUUUUUAUAGGCAAAGGAGUGUAAUGAGGCAUUUCUAGUAGUAAACACCAUGGACAAAGAUAAGAAGUUACAACAUAAUUAUGUUCAUAAAUGUGGGAGCAAAUGAUAUGCUGAGGCUAGACUCAGCAUAAGGAGGGGUGGGGUUGGGGUGGGAGGUGUGCCUGGAAAGAAAGCCUAUGUAGUGAUACACUUUUUGAUCAAGGUCCUGAUUUAUUUUUCUUUUUUAUUAAAGUAAACAUAAAAUGAACUUUAAUGAACUAUAACAAACAUCAAAUAGAUUUAAUGAUUUGUUAAAACAAAAUCUUUUUUAGCCAAAUCUGCUUCAUCUUUUUAUUUUGAGGCUUUUUGCAGUUGUUGUAGCAGUUUAAAUUCCAGGCAACGUAAUAUUUCACCCCUACAAAGUGUAGUAGGCACCUCCCCAAAGGAAGGCAUUUUCUUGUUUACCAUAAUACCAUUGUCAUGUCCUAAUCAAAUUGACAAUAAUUCCUUACAGUUUUCUAAAACCCAGUCCACUAUCAAAUUUUAGUGAUUGGCUCAGACAUGAACUUAUUUUUACUGCUGGUCUGUGUGAAUCAGAAUCUUGAGUAUCUGCUGUCUUUUUAAAUCUAGAACAGGGGUUUAACAGACUUUUCUUAAAAAGGCCAGAUGCUAACUCUGUUAGGUUUUGCAGGCCAUGCAGUCUCUGCUGCAACUCCCCAACUGUCUUGUCCUGAAAAGUUAGCCAUGGAUGAUAUGUAAAAAUUUGCAUGAAUGUGUUCCCAUAAAAUUGUGUGUUUCACAGUUAUUUGUUUAAAACUCCACUGGUGGAUUGAGCAUUAGUUUGCUGACAGUUGUCUAAAGCAGUACCCAUGUGUUUCUUUAAUGCCAAUGAUUUAUUGGUGUCACUUGGUUGUCUAUAAAUGUUUCAUAUUCUGGCUUCACCUUUUUGUUUAGUACAGUUUAGCUUGCUCCUCUAUCCCCUAUAGCUUCUGUUAUCUGAAAGAGCUAAAGGCAUAAAUUCAGGUUGAACAUUUUUGGCAGAUGUAGUUUGAAUUUUUAAAAAAUAUAAAUUUAAGACCUUAGAAGACUAGGAAACCUUCAUCCAGGAAGCUCAUUUUUUUUCUAAAAUAGUCUUUGCCUGGUGACUGAGUACAGUUUUUCCUUUGAUUCUUACUUUCCUUACUUGAAGAGAGGAUAUAGCUGCUGCUUCUCAAGGAGGCUGAGAACUUUGAACCCCUCUGCUACGUCACUGGGAAUUUUCCUUUUUUGAAGGCAUCUUGUGGCCUCUUGGGCCAGUGUACUACAUUUUCUCAUUGAAUGGAACUACCUUUCUUGGGCCCACAUCCAGGGCCUAAAAUGUUUUCCACCAGGGGCUGGGUGAUUUGUUUUUGUUUUUAAGCUUCUUGUCACAUAAACACUCAACUUUCUUUACUCACCCUUUUCUUAAUCUUACCUCCAGCAGGACUGAGAACUGGAUACCUACCUGGUGCAUAUCAUCCUAUAAGGUGGGAUUACAUGUCCUGGUGUACUGCUUGGAAGGAUUCUGAAGUCAAAAGCAUUUCAGACUCUCAGACUUACUGUGGUAUUGGAUUCCAGGGCCACACAGUUUUGAAGAAACAAGCUUACAGGACUCCAGGUGGCCAUUACAGGCUACUCUGCCUUGUCUUGAAUGUUGGGUUCCAGAAAGUGAUGGAGUUUAAGGAAGGCUACUACAAAUCUGCUUCAGAGAUACUUUGGGAAUAUUUGAAUGCUUGUGAAAAUCCUAAAUAAAAGAUAUGUGGAGUGUUUUUUUUUUUCCUAUUGAUUAGGGACUGUGAAGUAUGUUGAGCUCAGAUAAGAAUAUAAACUGGUAAGAAUAAUUCCAGACCUAAUGGCCUGCAAAUUGCCUCCCUCCAUGAUCUCACUGAAUCUUUUUAGGUUCACUUUCUUUGAGGUAUAAUUUACAUGCAAGAAAACUGACACAUUAAGUGCACAGGUUGGUGAUUUAGACAAAAGACAAGAACAUUGCCAUCUUCCUAGAAUGUGUCGCCUCCACACUCCUGCCCCCAUUGAUCUAACUGCUGUCUCUAGAGAUUAGUUUUGCAGGUUCUAGAUGGCCUUUUAGCUCUAUAAGGCUAUAUGGGUGUAUACCACUGUCCCUGCUCUAGGGAGGCUGGGGGCAGGGCAGGGAGUAACUGGCCCCAUGUCAGAGUCUCGGGCUCCAGAGCACUUUGCUCUCCCUGGACUUUGCCUCUGGGAGAGGACAUCUGAAGGAAAUGGUGGCAGAGCCACAGGAAUGAAUUCAAUUCCUGUAAAUUUAUACCUGGAGCAGUAUUUGAACUGGUGGGGUUUUUUUGUGACAAGGAGAAAUUGAGAAAUUACAAAAAGACUGAAGACCUGCAGGAUCUCUUCAGGAAUUUGGACUGAGAGGGGAUAACCACUUGCUUUAGUGUAGCAGGUAUUGAUUAAAUGCCUACUGCAUGCACUCAACUGUGCUGGCUGAUAUGGAAGAUGUGAAAGGAAGAAAAGGUUUGAUCCCUGCCUUUCAGCUCUUGAUUUGAAAAACAGUUUAGAGAGAAAUACAGGGUCCCUUGUUCAGAAUCAGAAAGAGUACAGUUAUAAGACACUAAAAUAUGAAGUGUUUUUCCUUUGGUCUUUCUCUUUUGAUUUGUCAUGGUGUUUUAGUUAUUACUUCAUCAGUAUUAUUUUAUUUAUAGUUUUAUUACUAUUAUAUUAAAUUCUUAGCAUUCAGUUUAUCAUUCAUCUUUAUAUUGUGUAAUGUCCAUUUUAAUUUAAAUACAAAUAUAGGAGUAUUUUUUAAUACAUGUGAAAUCACAGAAAUGAUAAUAUCGCAGAACUUGUGCAUGCAUAUGUAUUUUAUUCUUACCAGAACUAGAAACUCUGCUUAAAACUAUCUCAACUGUAUUUAUUUCAGUUCUUGACAUGUGUACAUUCUACCAACGUUGCCCACCAUCAGUUCCUGAUGAUGGAGCAAAGACUGAGAGGUAGAGAAACUCUGGGGUUCUGAGUCACUCUUGCCCUCUGUGUCACCAUCUUCAUUGUGUGUGGUGGUCUGGUACAGGGAAGUACCCCAUGUAAGGAAGAUUAGGAUAGAGCUCCUUGGUUGUUAGUAUUUCGUAGAAUUCUAUUGCCUUUUCCAGUGUUCAAAGCAAGUUUUGCUUGGAAUGGAAAGUGUGGCCUUUACUGGCUGGCAAAGUCAUACAUGUAACAUGUCACCUUGCCCUCACUUCUAGUCUCACUGAAUCCCAUCCGUCAUGGGUCUACCAGGGUUCCGUGCUUGUAGUGCACUGAGAGUGGUGUCUGCCUGUGGGGCUGCAUGGACCACCCCUGCUCUCUAGAAGAUGCUCUGGUGUUUCAUCAGGCUUUGCUUACGCAAGUUGAGAUAAAAUUAUUAAGAAUUCCAGGAUAGUGGCUGCUUUUGAGUGUUGAUUCUCCAGACUGACUGCACCGGUGUUUGUUUGGUGCUCAGUAAGUGCCUGUGGGUACCUUCUAGGUGAAGAUACAUAUGGAAUCUGGUGUGGGGCAGUGGCCCAAGCCAGCUACCAGGGGCCCUCUGGUGGCUGAAAGCUGGUCCUGUUCUGAGGAUGAGAGGAGCACCCUCUUCACAGGACUGAGGGGAGAGCCUUUGUAGGGCAGGAAGAAGGUGUGAAGGCAGACCCAUCUGCUCUGUUGUCUUUAAUUGGGGAACCUGUGGAAAGUCACUUCAUCUCUUAUUUCCCCCACCUGUAAAAUGGGGAGAAGCUAGGGAGUGAAAUCUCUGAGUUGUAUUAACUUGAAAAUAUAAGUGAAGCAUUUAGCAAGGGUCAGGCACACAGUAAAUGCUCUCAGUUGUGGUGGCCAGCAUUAUUUUUAUUUUCCCCUUUCAGCCACAGGUGGGCCCACAGGUAAAGCCCUUGUUUCUGAAGCCAUGCCCACAGGGCAGGUAGGCACUUUGAGGUGAUAACUCCUGGCACCUUCUCGUUGUAUCUUAGACCUGCUGCCAGACCCCAUGUCUCCACCGCGCUCUACUCUGGCUGGCGGUUCCAGGCCUUUCCUGAGCUUUCUGUGCCUCCUGCUGGGAACUGUGGGGGCUGGUAGCACCUCCACUCCCAGCUGUGCCUGGUAUUUAGGGCAGUGUCCGUGGCAGGCCCUGCCAAUUCAGCAGCCUCCAUUUCCAUAAAACCCUUUCCCUGACUCGGUGUUUGGGGAUUUUCCUGCUGCUCCUUUCCAGACUUUUAAGAGCCCUCCUGGGAGACAGUCAUCUCCCUUGCCUGUCACUGUAUGUUUUUAAAAUGGCAACACAAUCGUUAUUAAAGUGGUAUGGCAUUAAAAAUCUUUCUUUUUAAAAGUUUUUGUCAUUGCUAAAGAAUAAAAACCCACAGAAUGGUCGCUGAGGGAGCAUUCAGAGGCCUUAGUGUGUACCAGAGACCAUGAAACGCUGGUUUGUUCUCGGGGUCCCACAAAGGUCCAGAGUUUGAGGGAGUGACUGGGAGUGGAGACCCGAACGUCUUUAUUUCAAAGGUACCGCCAUUUCACCCAAGCUGCUUGGUUAAUGUAAGAAAGGUGUUUUGCCAUAAACUUUCCAGGGUAUUCAGUGGGGUUGCCUGGGCAGGAAGCCCUUGUCAUUGCUAUAAAGAAACUAGCAAGCAAGAGAGUGAAAGCAUCAAAGCACCCACAGGAUGCAGCUGAGCCCUCCCUGGCCCAUCGCCCUCCAGCCACUCUAAGGGGAGAGUGACAUGACCUUAAGUACUUCGUUUGAGCAAGCUGCACUCUAGUUUAAAGUUCAAGGCAUUUUGUUUUUUCACCUGUUUCCUACAGUUCUAAGAAACUUCUGAAGAAUUAAUGUGUAACUAUAUCAGAUACCCAGGCAUUUUCUCAAGGGAAAAUAAUGUUACAUACAGUAGGAAGGGAGAGAAAUGGUAGUUGACUGAGAUGUGAGAAGGUUUCUGUAAAAUAAGAAAAAUUCUCUUUAGAGCAGUCACAGACAACAUCCUAUAUGCUUUUUUAAAGAUUUGACCUCAUUUACUAACAUCUACAUCUGCUAAAGGCCCCUGCCCAUUGUUGCCACUUGUGGCCAAGUGGGGACUAGGGCAGCAGUUGUGAAACUACUCAUUUUGACAGAUGCUCUUCAUAAAUUUGGUGGAGCCAUGAUUCUGCUGGAGCUGACUUUGACAUAAGACAUUGAAUGAUGAAAGCUAAUUUUUAUAGCAAAUGGAAAGACAGAUAAGAGGGGGCUUCCCUGGCUGUUCUUUGGGACAGGCAUUUCUGGUUCUGAAGCAGUUCAUUCUCCAGCCAGUGGUGAGUGGCAGAGCAGGCUCCUCAGAGGCCUUAAUUUUAUGCAACUCAAAUCCAGUCAUUAUACCUGUCUUCUCUAACACAGUCUUGACUUGACAACAGGCAGUAAUCAUUACUAGUACCUUGACGUUUUAUUGCUUGGAGAAAACAGUUUGAAGUGAUGACACACAGCUUUUACUAACCUUUCUUCAUAUCAUUAAAUUUUAACGCAUACAGGAUGAAUAUUUUUUGAAGGAUGUUUUUAUGGUAGAAGCUGGUGUCCAUUUAAAUCCUCUUGCAGACUGAUUUAAGAAGAGUUAAAUACUAGCCCUUUUUUUGUUUGGUUCACGAGGUACGUAUGUUUCUAAAUGUGGCCCAGGCAUAUGUGUAUUUCUAAUUUGUAAACUAGCAUAAUAAACACUUAAAUUAAAUUCUGCCUUUUACACCCUUACCACCAGGUGGCUAAGAAAAAAUACUGAGCAGGAAAAAUCUAACAACUAUGCAAAGCACUCGUGAUGAUUUUCGAUUUCUGCUUAAGUGCUGAAAUAUGAAACUGUAGAUGGACUGUGUUUCAGGAAAGAAAACUGCUGAAUAAGUGACAGGCAUUUCAAGCAGUGCCAGGCCAGAUGGACAUUUUCA